GGGGCCGCAGCCGCCGUACGCGACCCGCGAAUGUCGCUUGUUGCGACUGUGGGGCCGCGUACGGAGCAGGGCGCUGACAAUGGGAGCCCAGGAAAGGCCUCGCAGUCCUGAAAUUUAUCCCUCUGACUACAUUGUACAGCCUCAAGCACCGAUGUAAAGGCGGAGCGAAGUUGUCCCUGUUCUAAUUCCAGGCGGGACUCAGCGCUUUGAAUUUCCAAACACGGCCCGGGCUCGGCCCCCAGAGUUUCCCGCAACAAAUAAAACAAUUUAUUGUCCGAUAAAUUUAGGAAGGCAAUGCAGUGUGGCCUCCGACGGAAUUCCCGAGAUUCCAGCGGAAACAGGAGUUCUCCAUCGGGGGAACUGGAAGUCCUGAAGAGGAAAUCUCUAAAACAGCAGUCGAGUUAUGAAUUUUAUCGCUUUCCUAAGCUAUUAUUUUCACCUCAUUUUUCACAUAUUAUUGAGUGAAAGUAGAUUUUCCUCAGAUUUACGUCAUUAAAAUAAACACAGCCCUGUCACUGA